GUCACACCUGUUCCCAUGCCGAACACAGAAGUUAAGCUCCUUAGCGCCGAUGGUAGUCGGACUAACGUUCCGCUAGAGUAGGACGUUGCCAGGC
rnacentral:rRNA from 1 species